AGACUAAAUGAUUUUUUCCUAUUCAUAGGCACCACACCUAGAUAAAGUAUUCAUUCCUUUUUUCUCGUGCUCAAAGCUAAGAGCGGCCACCCUACACAGUUUUGAUUAUUUUAAUAAUAAUAACUAAUGUCUUUACCUGUAAAACCGGUUUCUCGAGCUCAGCACUCACAGCCAUUUUUAAACCUGUCUCUUAAGCGUCCUUCGAUAUCUAAUAAUAGAAUCUAGUAAUUCCUAAGUAAGGGUAUUUCCGAUGAAUCCUAGUCUAGAUCUAAGUAACCGCAACACUUUCUCAAACAAAUUUGACCUAUCCAUGCAGUUCUAGAUCUUGAUCUAGAGAUCUAGAAUCUAUUAGUCCUCAUAGUCAUAAUCAAAUUAUCCAUAAUAAUAAAUCCGCUACGGUACACUUAGAGUACUUAGACUGACUAUUAACUUAAUACAGUACACUUUUGACUUUAUAGUCUGGACAAACUGAGGCUUGCUCCCAGGGGCAGACUGGAUGUCAAAACCGGCCCAGGCAUUUUCACGCAAUCCGACCUACAAAUAGUGUGUCAGAUGAUGGGCGUCCAAUCAUACACGUCCUCAGAAGCAUUGUGUAAAUUUUAAUAAUGUAUCGAAAGUAGAAUCCAGCAACCAUUGGCAAAAAACAAACCCCAUUUGGGCAGUUGUUUGAGACAAACAUCUAUAAAAAAAAAAAGCUAACAAGAUCCUCGAAAUAAAGAAUCAUCCUUUGUGUCAGGAUUUUGUGAUUUUAUCAUCGCAAAAGAGAUACAAGACACCGAUAGCAAAGACAAAAAGACACAAACACUCUUUUGUUCCCCUGGCAAUCAAAUCAUUAAAUAAGAACAAUCUGGUAUAAACUUUGUCACAUGUAAAUUAUGAGUGAGUCUGGUGUGAAUGUACACUUUUGGUUUUUUAUAGUUAUAAUGUUUUUUUGUUUUGUGUAAUGCACAAAUUGUAAGACAAAUUUCCAUACGAACAAUAAAGAUUAUUAUUAUUAAUAGUUAGUACUUAUUUUCUGCUUCUUCUUUUUAUAUUCUUUUCCAUUUUGAUUCCAAAUCAACACAUUUCAACACUGUUCAAGAUAAUAGGCCUAAUUGUGAUUUGUGAAGGACUUCGUAGCGGGACCAACUCGAGAUCAUGCGGCAACUUCACCAAACCAAUAAGAAUUCGUAUGCGACUGGACAUGUCAUCUAUAGGACUUAGAACGUUGUUGUUGAUCCCUUUAUAGACUCAUCCGAAUAUAUUCACACUAACGUCUCUAUAAGAAAUAAAGGCCUUAAGUUUCUUGUUUAUCGUUUAGUGACGUCCACUAGAAGCACUAUAUAUAUAUAUAUGUAUGUAUGUAUGUAUAUAUAGACAUACGGAUGAAGGAUAUUUACGACAAUGCUUUACAUGAGUGUUAGACAUGGUUAGACUUAAAAAGUGUAAAAGAUAAUGUAUUAAUCACGACGCUCAAAGUGUUAUCUUUAAAGAGAAUAACAUAAAUCUUGAAACAAUUUACUGACAUUCAUGAGGCCCUUUCGGUGACCCUACCGGCCAAAUGGGGUACCGGCCCACCCGGCAUUUGCCCGAAUGCCCAUAUAGCCAGUCCGCCCCUGCUUGCUCCCCUAUAUGACAAGUUUAAUGAGAUCUCCCUGGCAUUCUUCAUAGAGUCACAUUUGUAUGUCCUAAAUUGGGCAAUAUCAAUUUUUUAGGAGGGUCACAAAAGACAGAUUAUUAAUCAAAAGUGAAAGCAUUAUAUAUAGUUAUAUAUAGGCCAAUCAGUGCUGCCCAAUUAGCCUAACUAAGUCAGCCUGGGGGGGGGGGGGGUAUAAAUUUCAGACACAUAUAUGUCACGGGUCGAAGCACAGAAAAUAAAAUUGUCGAUUUUAAAGGAACCGAAGACAUGCGUCAUAACUUGAUAAUGCACUGUAAGUAGAAGUUUUGAGAUCUGGAUAAUAACGCCUCACGGGCCGAGUGUGGCAUGUUUUUGGGGCAUCACUGCACUAAAUAGAACUAGGACUAUUACUACAUUUUAUAUUCCUGACUGAGGACUUUUCAGGCAGCUAUAGUAUCCCUGGAUAAUGUAAAAGAAUGGACCGGCUCAUCUCUUGAUAUCUUGCUAAGAACAGCUGCUGACCGGGAGGGAGGGAUUUGGUUACGCGAACUGUCACAGCACCCCUGCUACGACGAAAAUCAAAUGACAAAAUCAAGAUGAGAGUAGGCCUAUCGCUUCAAAAAAAAAAAGGGGGGGGGGGGGAUUUGCAUGUUUUUACCUACAUUAAGUGUGUGUAUG